rnacentral:rRNA from 1 species
UACGGAGGGUGCGAGCGUUGUCCGGAAUCAUUGGGCGUAAAGGGCGCGUAGGUGGCCACUUCAAGCGUGCGGUGAAAGUCGGGGGCUCAACCCCUGAUCGGCCGUGCGAACUGGGGGGCUGGAGCACUGUAGAGGCAGGCGGAAUUCCUGGUGUAGCGGUGAAAUGCGUAGAUAUCAGGAGGAACACCUGUGGUGUAGACAGCUUACUGGACCAUUUCUGACGCUGAGACACGAAAGCGUGGGUAGCAAACAGG